rnacentral:lncRNA from 1 species
CACCACUGUCCUCUGGAGGGGGGCACUCAAAGAAGGACCUCAGAUGACAAUCUCAGAGUCCGGGUCAGUUCAUAUGGGGAGAGAUAGAGCCCUUGAGGUACUGAGGCCCUGAGCUAUUUAAGGCUUUAUAGGUCAAAACCAGCACUUUGAAUUGGAAACAGUUCGCAAGCAGUUCACAGAGAGCAACAGGCCUGUGGCAUAGUAUUGUCUGAGCACUUCCACGCAUGGCCCGCCAGGCUCCAAAUACAGGGAGGGCGGCACCAGGAAACGGGAAGCAAUUAAGGCCUUCCCCCCCUCUAGGUGACCCUCAACUCCAUUUAUAGACCAACACAGUGCCUGAGAUGGGCAAGAGUGGAGGGCUGGUAACUGUCCCACUUAAACAUUUCAUUUCAUUAUGCAGUCAUGUGUUUUGUUGUGUUUAAGACACUUAUUGGCAACCAUCCUGGGAUUACCCUGUAAUGAAGGCUGGUCUAUAAAUAAAUUGGGUUAAUAAUUUAGUUAUUAAAGUGGGUUUAUGAUGAAUAAAUAAUACUUCGGAUUCUCCUUUAGGUGUUACAGGAAGCUCUGCUGGCAGAAUGAAAGAACGGUGCCCCAUUCAGCUGACAGCACUCCUGCAAUAAUGUCCAAAGCUGUUCUUUUCUAGUUUAAUACAGCCGUGCUGACUGGCGUCUACUUAUCACAGGAGUGGGGAACUGCAUCCAUUCAGCAGCCUGGAUCUUUAUCUCUCCCACCCUGCAACAUAUCAAGUGUGAGAGGUGAGUGGGUGGGUCAUUGUCCUGUCAAUCACCUGAUGUCACAAUGAUGUCAGGUGACCCUUUCCCCCUUUGUCAAACCGGAUCGGCAGUUCCUGCAAAACUCACUUACGGCUGAGCUUCAUCCUUACCUACCCCACACUGCAUGUAUGGGGCAAAACCACCUGUGUUUCAUUUAGAUAGUGCAGUCAGAUAUUUUUCUUAGCGGGAUAUAACCUGUUCACAUCUGAAGUUCUUUUUGAGAAGUAUCAUUUCUCAUUUUAAAAGGUAAAGGGACCCCUGACCAUUAGGUCCAGUCAUGGCCGACUCUGGGGUUGCGGUGCUCAUCUCACUUUAUUGGCCGAGGGAGCCGGCGUACAGCUUCCGGGUCAUGGGGCCAGCAUGACUAAGCCACUUCUGGCGAACCAGAACAGCGCACAGAAACGCCGUUUACCUUCCCGCCAGAGCGGUACCUAUUUAUCUACUUGCACUUUGACGUGCUUUCGAACUGCUAGGUUGGCAGGAGCAGGGACUGAGCAAUGGGAGUUCACCCCGUCGUGGGGAUUUGAACCGCUGACCUUCUGAUCGGCAAGUCCUAGGCUCUGUGGUUUAACCCACAGCGCCACCCACGUCCCUAUUUCUCAUUUAAGAAGCUUAAUUUUCCAUGCUUCCUAGCAGUUCAAAAGCAUGCCAGUGCAAGUAGAUAAAUAGGUACCGCUGUGGCGGGAAGGUAAAUGGCAUUUCCAUGUGCUCUGGCUUCUGUCACAGUAUCCUAUUAUGCCAGAAGGGUUUAGUCAUGCUGGCCACACAACACAUACAAACGCCGGCUCCCUCAGCCUGAAAGCCGAGAUGAGCACCACAACCCCAUAGUCGCCUUUGACUGGACCUAACUAUCCAGGGGUCCUUUACCCCCUUCUUACCUUUUUAAGAUGCUCGCAACAGUCAUAGAAACACUUCCCUGAGGGAGAACGAGGUGAUACUGUGCUCACCCCAAAUGUAUCCCAACUAAAACAACAACAACUAUGUAUGAAUCAGCUGAAGGUUUGGCAUCCAUUGAGCAGGAAGGUAAAAGCUCCUUUGUAGAGCACUUGCUUUUCAUGCAGAAGGUGCCAAGUUCAAUGCCCCUUACCUGAAACUACCAAUCCAUGUUGAGAAUAUGGAACUAGAUGGACCCGUGAUGUGACCCAUUAUGAGGCAGCUCAGUAUAAGGACAGGCUGCAAUAUGGAUACUUUCAACCUGGAGAAUCCAGCUGUUUUCUUCUUGAACUGCUUCCCGCCCCCUCCCCCAAUACAAAACUAGAAUCUACCUUCAUCUGGUGUCUUUUCAGAUUCCUUUCCUUCUCCAUCAAUUUGAAAUAACGAGGCGUCUCUCCGGAAACUUAAAUGCUAAGGAAAGGCUGCCUGUCGCCACCGGGGAAGAGCAGAUAUUGUCGCGUUAUCCAUUCCCGCAGUGACAUCAGCCGCCUUCAUGUGUAGCCACAGAUGCUUGCACAGCUGCAACAGAUCUAAUGCAGACAUGGGCAAUGUGAUUGUUUAUCCCUCAUAGAAUGUGUACCGUAUAGACAAUGGAAAUACACGUGAGAAUCUAUCUGCUUUCCAUUCAGUUUCAUUAAAACUAUGGCAUAGGCAUUAACUGAUAUUAAUCUGUGCAAUUAACAGCACUACGAGCAGGAAGGGAAGUGGAAGAGAAAGGAGUUCCCCUCUCUCCCAAAUUAGCAUUUGGCCUCUCACAGAGGCUUCUGUUUAUUUAUUUAUAGAAGUAUUUGCACACUUUACAUAAAGGUAUUUACAUAUCAGAGUGGUGCGCGGCAACAGAAAAAACAUUAUUUAAUAAAAUAAACAUUAAAAGCAGGACAGAAUCAUGAAAACUACUGGCUACCAGGUCCGCCCUAAUGCCAGGAAGUUGCAGGAGUCAGGAGAACGUGAACGGCUGUGUUUAUGUCAACAGGACAGCAACUCAACCUAGCAGCUUGGACUUGCUACCAAAGCAAGACGAAGGGUUGAACUCAUUUCCCCUGAGCUAUACAGGUAUGUACACCCAGAAAUGGGAGAGGACUUUAAUAAUAAUAAUAAUAAUAAUAAUAAUAAUAAUAAUAAUAAUAAUAAUUUAUUUAUAUCCCACCCAUCUUGCUGGGUUUUCCCAGCCACUCUGGGUGGCUUCCAACAAAAGAUUAAAAAUACAGAUUAAAACAUCAGUCAUUAAAAACUUUGCUAAACAGGGCUGUCUUCUAAAAGUCUGGUAGUUGUUUUUCUCUUUGACAUCUGGUGGGAGGGCAUUCCACAGGGCGGGCGCCACUACCGAGAAGGCCCUCUGCCUGAUUCCCUGUAACUUUACUUCUCGCAGUGAGGGAACCUACAGAAGGCCCUUGGAGCUGAACCUCAGUGUCCAGGCUGAGUGAUGGGGGUGGAGACGCUCCUUCAGGUAUACUGGGCCGAGGCCGUUUAGGGCUUUAAAGGUCAGCACCAACACUUUGAAUUGUGCUUGGAAGCAUACUGGGAGCCAAUGUAGGUCUUUCAGGACCGGUGUUAUAUGGUCUUGGCAGCCAUUCCCAGUCACCAAUCUAGCUGCCACAUUCUGGAUUAGUUGUAGUUUCCGGGUCACAUUCAAAGGUAGCCCCAUGUAGAGCGCAUUGCAGUAGUCCAAGCGGGAGAUAACUACAGCAUACACCACUUUGGCAAGCAGGUAGGGUCUCAGUCUGCGUACCAGAUGGAGCUGUUAAACAGUUGCCCUGGACACAGAAUUGACCUAUGCCUCCAUGGACAGCUGUGAGUCCAAAAUGACUCCCAGGCUGCGCACCUGGUCCUUCAGGGGCACAGUUACCCUAUUCAGGACCAGGGAGUCCUCCACACCAGCCCGCCCCCUGUCCCCCAAGAACAGUACUUCUGUCUUGUCAGGAUUCAACCUCAGUCCGUUAGCCGCCACCCAUCCUCCAACCAUAGCUGUCAACUUUUCCCUUUUCUUGCAAGGAAUCCUAUUUGGAAUAAGAGAAUUUCCCUUUAAAAAAGGGAAAUGUUGACAGCUAUGCCUCCAACCGCCUCCAGACACUCACACAAGCACUUUGAAUUACAGAGCAGACAUGUCGCUUAAGAGACAGGCCAUUCGCACUACAUCCAUGAGGAGGGGAGUCUCCCUGCUGCAAAGGCCGUCCACUUUUCAACUUACGGGACACUGAUGCGGUGCAGGGGGCCAGAGAGAGUGCCCCCCUGCUUUUCUUGUGAGAAUUAAGAGUCACGCGAGUAAAAUAAACGCCCAAAACAGAGCUUGCGAAGAAGCAGAGAUUGGUAGCAUUUUAAGCUGAGCUGGCAUUUGUCUCCUUACCACCACUGAGCGUUGCUAUCUGCUUGCUGAUCAGACAGAUGCACUCCUCCCAAUUGAUCAUUUUUAACAUUGGAUUUGGAACAACAAGUUGCCCUAUUUAGAGAGAGAGAGAGAGAGCACAAACAAACAAAGAAACAAAGAAACAAACAAAUAUACAUUAGACUGACCAGUUUGCAUUAGUGUGAGCGUAAGCAACUCCAAUGUGUUUCUAUUUAUCACCAUUUGCUGUAAUUGGACACCGUUCAUUUCCUUCAUCAGCUGAUUCCUUUCCAUUAUUUCUUCUCAAAGAGGACUGCAAUCAGCAUUAGUUAGUGGGAAUUUUGCUUGCCUGGAAGCUUUUGUAAAAGAGAUCGGGCGACGGGGACGGACGACCAUCAUUGGGUAUGCACACUAGAGAAGUUGUGUUUGCUUCCACUGUUAUAACCCUUUUGCCUUUUAAAAUGGUUCAUUAUCCUUAUUGAUACAAGGAGGGAGGGCCUACGUUUUGUACUGUAAAAAACCCUGAAGGCAUCUAAGUAUAGGAUUUCAAACAUCUGCUUCUGGAUCCCUAGAUACAUUCUCUCAUAUUGUGAUGGGAAAGGACUAAACCAUCACUCUUAUUAUCUGUCCUGCAGUGGGAUUUAAGGGCACCCAUCAAACCUACUAUGGGUUUUGGAAUGCUGUUUAUUUGCUACUUGUUUUGCAUUAUGGUUCCUGACAUCGAGAAGCAGGUUUUCAUCUGUAUUUGGAUACCCUCUGGACUUCAUGUGGAAUCAAAUACAAUGCUUAGCAUUUGGGCCAUUCUCACCCCUCAAAAUCAGAGAAAACACUACACACACACACACACACCUCAUCUAUAUGCAGGUCACACAAAUCUCAGCAUGUGCAUCUGUACAGUUACCUUCAGGGAGAGUGUCUCAAUCCAGCCCACAAGCCACAUAUAUACGAAGUGAGUGUACAAAGGAGGGGAAAUCAUGGCUGAGACUUGCUAUAUGGAUGGGGUGGAUAACCUCUGCCUAAAUCAUGGGUAGGCAAACUAAGGCCCGGGGCCUGGAUCCGGCCCAAUCGCCUUCUAAAUCCGGCCCGCGGACGGUCCGGGAAUCAGCGUGUUUUUACAUGAGUAGAAUGUGUCCUUUUAUUUAAAAUGCAUCUCUGGGUUAUUUGUGGGGCCUGCCUGGUGUUUUUACAUGAGUAGAAUGUGUGCUUUUAUUUCAAAUGCAUCUCUGGGUUAUUUGUGGGGCAUAGGAAUUCGUUCAUCUUUUUUUUCCAAAAUAUAGUCCGCCCCCCCCCCAAGGUCUGAAGGACAGUGGACCGGCCCCCUGCUGAAAAAGUUUGCUGACCCCUGGUAAAUUUACACCAGGGUGGGGGAGCCCAAAGGGAAAGAAGGAUAAGAGAGGGGGAACCAAAAUGGGUGGAGAGAUGAAAUAGUGGCAGGGAAUUAUUUUGUUUGAUCAAGAGUGAAAAUAUAAGAACACGAGUCCAACAGGGCUCAAGCACAAGAGCACUCUCCCCUCCCAUGGUUUUCUACAACUAGUGAUCUACCCCUCUCUCAGCAGCCCACCAGGUUUGGAGGAGGAAGGAGGGAGGGGGCAGGAGAGAAGGAGAAUGAGAAAGAGACAAAGGGGGGAAAUGGAAAGAGUAAGGAGUGGCCCAUCCACCUUCAUUCUGGCCCACUGCUGACUUGCAUCCUCCAACAGAUUACCCCUAAGGGAAUGUGGCUCUCAGCAGAAACUUUCCUCACCCUUGUGUUACAGGAUCCAUUAAAAUAACAACAGCAACACAAAACAAUUGCACUUGUUGUCUUCCCAGCCGGCACAAUGUCGCCCUCCAAGCAACACAAUGUGAUCUUCCCCAGGGGGGCUGUAAGAAAUAUUUCUAGGGCCUGAGACGUGGUUAGGCGUGACCUUCUUUUUAAAAUGGUCUUUCCUGACAUCUUCUCUUAUAUGUGCUUGUUUCAGAUCUGAGGAAUGAGCUGCAUUGAUCCUAGUUCUGGAGAUCAGUCAGAGUAGUAAACAACAAGGCUCGGUGAUUUAUGACCAGGCUGGCUGAUAGUACCUUAGAGAUGCCUAACCACCUUCAGCUUAAGAGCUGGCUUCAGAAAUGUGGAACUUAAACAUUUCAGGUAGCGUUCCUUCAAGCCACUCACAUCUGCAAAGUGAGAAAAGAUUUCAGGCAGAUCAAUAAGAAAGGACUCUGAUAGCUAACCAGCCACCCAGCUGGAGAUAAGGUCUGUACAGUGGUACCUCGGGUUAAGUACUUAAUUCGUUCCGAAGGUCUGUUCUUAACCUGAAACUGUUCUUAACCUGAAGCACCACUUUAGCUAAUGGGGCCUCCCACUGCCGCCGCGCCACCGGAGCACAAUUUCUGUUCUCAUCCUGAAGCAAAGUUCUUAACCUGAAGCACUAUUUCUGGGUUAGUGGAGUCUGUAACCUGAAGCGUAUGUAACCUGAGGUACCACUGUACUGCAUUGGCAAACGGGCAAACUUCUAGCAACAUGCAAUGGCUGCAAAGCCAAGGCAGUGGCAGUUUUGUUCUGUCUCUCUACAAAAAGGAUUCUCUGGACUGCAGGUCAAGGAAAUGUUUCCUCUAGCACUGAUCUGCAUAUGCAGUACAAUCAGUACUCUUGAAAUUAUCUCCCAAACAACAAAAGAGUCCCAAUUUGCAAAGCUUUCCAGGAGAAUAAAAUGUGUUGAAAUUCCAUUAGGUGAAUGGAAGAGGGAGUGGUUGGUAUACCACUCUGAGAAUUAUUGCUCUGGGUGUGGAAUUGGGGGAUCUCCUAACAACUCUUGCCACCCUGAAUAAACUGCAUCUCCCAGAAUUCUUGGGGGAAUGUCAGGACUGCUUAAAGUGGUAUAAUACUGCUUUAAAUGUAUGGUAUGGAUGAGGACUAAGAUAAAUAGGGCUGUGUCAUAUGCAUUUAACACACACACAUCCCGCCAAGAAUCCUGGGAACUAUGGCUUACCCCAUACAGAGCUACACUUAACAAACCACAGCUCCCAGAAUUAUUUAGGCAUAGAAUGUGCUUUCAAUGUAUGGUGUAUAUGCAGCCUAAGUCUGGGCUGUAAUUCAUCUGGGGUGAUCACAGGGCAGGGAAGAGCUUGUGAACAAAAGAUCAGCAAUCCAAAAGAUUUGCCCACCUGGAUCGCCUUGAUUUUGGCUUCCUUCCACUGCUUUCCCUCUAAAGCCUUUGGAAGGAAGGAGCUCUCCCGCCCUCCCAAUCUAGAGCCAAGGCUGCAAAAAGAGGCUGUUAGGUAAAUCUCCGCGCGUUCAUUAAACAAUAUUUGUGCCGAGCGCUUAAAUAUCCCAGCGACGCUCCUUUCCUUUCAAGUUCCCUAUUGAACGGCCAGUGAAAUCUGAAACGGGCUGAGCGUUAGGGCGCUGUAUUUCAAAUGUACAUUUUAAAUAAAUUAAUAAAUGGCUUCUUAUAAAUAAUGGAAUGUAAUUAAACUCUACAUUCUAUCAGGCAUUCAUACACUUAUAAAUAUUUAUACUGGAAUUUUCAGCGCGCACUUGAAAAGAGACUCGCGUUGAGAUGAGCAACUUCAACAGCCUCCGAAAUAUCUCCCUGGGCCAUGCUGCCGACGGAGCUCUUCCGUGCAAACAUCGAUGAUGAUAACAUAUAUGUUCAAGUGCAGGAAGGCCUUCAGACCGUGGAGACCAUGGAUGGUGGGCGUUACCCUUCCAGCCUUGAAUCGUAAGUCUCUUUGCAUGCUUUUCCUGUCCAACAGUUAGUCCCCACACCACAGGAAUAUAAGUGCAUGAGCAUCCAGAAAUAUGAAGGAUUUUUCCAAAGCAAAGUUAAUACAGAUGUUUUCUGACCAAAAAGGAAGACUCCACAGGAUGCUGCCUGAGUGCUGGAAGGAAGACCUGGCUCCCUGCUAUAAGGCCAAUUCCCACCUGGCCCUGAACUCACCCUGAACAGCUAAAAGAGGCUCCUGGGAGGCCAGAGGAACAGGGCUGGAGCAACUCUUGGGCUGGGGCAACUGGCUAAAAUGUUUUGAAACGUUUUAAAUGGUUCUAAUUUUGGCUCGUCUGUUUCAUUUUUGUCUGGUUGGUGUUGUUUAAAUGUUUAGUUGGGCUUGGCGGUUACUUUAAUUUGGGUAUAACUGUAAACUUAUUAUUAUUGUUAUUAUCAUUGUUAUUGGUUUUUAUUGAUUUAUUGGUUUGUUUGUUGCUUGUAUAGGAUAUCUUGUUUCUUCAUGUUUGAUGUUUUGUUGUGGUUUAUAUGUUGCCCAGAGUGGCUGGGGAAACCCAGCCAGAUGGGUGGGAUAUAAAUUAAAUAUUAUUAUUAUUAUUAUUAUUAUUAUUAUUACAGGUUAUGCCCAAGCCAAAGAGGCCUCAUCAGUGUUAUAAUCUAUCUGAACCACUCUGAAACUGCUCUGAUCCAUUCUAUCCACCGUUUAUGGGCUGCUUCACAAUGUUGCCAUGCGCUUCUCUUCCUGAGAGAAGCGACCUCCAAUAGAAACAACAAUUAGAAGACUUCAGCUCAUUUGCAUUCAUAAACUUCACGGCUUGAAUGAGUGCGCUAGACUCCAAACCACAGCUUGCAGCACCUAUAUCCUACUACUGAGCAUAAUUGCAGACUGAAUAAAGGCAAACUAAAAUUCAUAUGGCAUGGAGGAG